CCCUUAGAUGUUCUGGGCCGCACGCGCGCUACAAUGAUGAAUUCAACGAGUUUAUAACCUUGGUUGAAAAGCCUGGGUAAUCUUUUGAACUUUCGUCGUGAUGGGGCUAGACCCUUGCAAUUAUUGGUCUCCAACGAGGAAUUCCUAGUAAACGCAAGUCAUCAGCUUGCAUUGAUUACGUCCCUGCCCUUUGUACACACCGCCCGUCGCUACUACCGAUUGAAUGGUUUAGUGAGAUCCUUGGAUCGGCCCUGUCGCGGCUGGCAACGGCCGCGUCGGCGCGUCGAGAAGACGAUCAAACUUGAUCAUUUAGAGGAAGUAAAAGUCGUAACA
rnacentral:rRNA from 1 species